AACUAUAACGGUCCUAAGGUAGCGAAAUUCCUUGUCGGGUAAGUUCCGACCUGCACGAAUGGCGUAAUGAUGGCCAGGCUGUCUCCACCCGAGACUCAGUGAAAUUGAACUCGCUGUGAAGAUGCAGUGUACCCGCGGCAAGACGGAAAGACCCCGUGAACCUUUACUAUAGCUUGACACUGAAUAUUGAGCCUUGAUGUGUAGGAUAGGUGGGAGGCAUCGAAGCGUGGACGCCAGUCUGCGUGGAGCCAACCUUGAAAUACCACCCUUUAAUGUUUGAUGUUCUAACUCGGCCCCAUAAUCUGGGGUGAGGACAGUGUCUGGUGGGUAGUUUGACUGGGGCGGUCUCCUCCCAAAGAGUAACGGAGGAGCACGAAGGUUAGCUAAUCACGGUCGGACAUCGUGAGGUUAGUGCAAAGGCAUAAGCUAGCUUGACUGCGAGAGUGACGGCUCGAGCAGGUACGAAAGUAGGUCUUAGUGAUCCGGUGGUUCUGAAUGGAAGGGCCAUCGCUCAACGGAUAAAAGGUACUCCGGGGAUAACAGGCUGAUACCGCCCAAGAGUUCAUAUCGACGGCGGUGUUUGGCACCUCGAUGUCGGCUCAUCACAUCCUGGGGCUGAAGUAGGUCCCAAGGGUAUGGCUGUUCGCCAUUUAAAGUGGUACGCGAGCUGGGUUUAGAACGUCGUGAGACAGUUCGGUCCCUAUCUGCCGUGGGCGUUGGAAGAUUGAGAGGGGCUGCUCCUAGUACGAGAGGACCGGAGUGGACGCAUCACUGGUGUUCGGGUUGUCAUGCCAAUGGCAUUGCCCGGUAGCUAAAUGCGGAAAAGAUAAGCGCUGAAAGCAUCUAAGCGCGAAACUUGCCUCGAGAUGAGUCUUCCCUGGGGCUUUAAGCCCCCUGAAGGAACGUUAAAGACUAUGACGUUGAUAGGCUGGGUGUGUAAGUGCAGCGAUGCAUUGAGCUAACCAGUACUAAUG
rnacentral:rRNA from 1 species